rnacentral:lncRNA from 1 species
GUUCAACCCCUUUUUGACCCUGCUUCUAGAACACAGGUUUUUCUUUCCUUGCUUCCUGAUUUUUGGGGGGCAUCCAAGAGUCUCUCUAGUUGCAUCCUCACUUCCCCCAACCCGGAGUUCAAGGGUCAAGGUUUGCAAGGCACUAUUCCUGGAGACAGGGACAGCUCUCUGAGCAAGAGGAGGGAUUUACCAUAAACUUGAGCAACCCAGAAGCUCACUGAAAAGAACAAAAAAACUCGUCUUGAUUUCAUGGUAUGUUGAUAUUGCUUUUUUUAAAAGAAGUCAUUUUAAAAAUACAGUCCAAUAGUGAGUAAUGCCAAACGUCUCUACGGUCCUUAGACAGUGGCUUGGGAGGAACCAAACCUGGUUCUGAAUUCCAGCUCUGUCAUGAACACCUUUGCUUUGUGACCUUUGGCAAGUGACUUAACUUUUCUUGGCCUCAGUUUCCCCAUCUAUGAAGCUGAACUCAAAUCUCCAAGGGCUCCUUCUGCCCUUUUUUCUCUUCAUCUGAAUCUGACAUCCAUGCUAUUGUUUCCAUUCUUCCUCAUUUCCUAUUAAAUGCGUUUGGAGGCUACAAAUUUCCCUUUGAGAACAGCUUUGGCUGCAUCUCAUGGACUUGGCUGCAGAGUGCUUGCAUUCUUGUUGAGUUCUAAAUAUUUAGGUAUGAUGGUGUCACCUUUAUCUGCAGCUAUGACUAUUUUUUUUUUCUUUUUUUUUUUGAGACAGAGUCUUGCACUGUUGCCUAGGCUGGAGUGCAGUGGCGUGAUCUCCACUCACUGCAAGCUCCGCCUCCCGGGUUCACGCCAUUCUCCCACCUCAGCCUCCCGAGUAGCUGGGACUACAGGCAUGCACCAGCGUGCCUGGUUAAUUUUUAUAUUUUUAAUAGAGACAGGAUUUUGCCAUGUGGCCCAGGCUGGUCUUGAACUCCUGAGCUCAUGUGAUCCACUGGCCUCGGCCUCCUAAACUGCUAAAAUUACAGGUGUGAGCCACCAUGCCCCGUCAUUUUUUUUUUUUUUUGAGACAGCAUUUUGCUCUGUUACCCAGCUUGGAGCAGUGUGGUGCAAUCAUAGCUAACUGUAGCUUUGACCAUGGGUCCAAGGCCUCCCAAGUAGCUGGGACUACGGGCACGUGCCACCAUGCCUGGCUAAUUUUUUUUGAGAUGGAGUCUCCCUCUGCCACCCAUGCUGGAGUGCAGUGAUGCAAUUUCGGCUCACUGCAAGCUCCACCUCCUGGGUUCAAACGAUUCUCCUGCCUCAGCCUCCCGAGUAGCUGGGAAUACAGGCACAUGCUACCAUGCCUGGCUAAUUUAAAAAAUUCUUUUGUAUGUUACCUAGGCUGGUCUCAAACUCCUGGGCUCAAGGAAUCUUCUCAGUCUCUCAAAGUGCUGGGGUUAUAGACGUGAGCCACUGCACUCCGUCAGUCUUGUGCCCUGCCCAGUCUCCGGAGCCCAGCCGUUAGUUGGUCUUAAUCAACAUGGACUGAGAGGAAGGAAGGCUUGUGAAAUGUAGUGACACAGUAACAAAACGAUCCAUUAAAAUGAAAUGAGAUCACAUCCCUGCUUAAAACUCUCUGAUGGCUUCUUGUCCCACUUAAAACAAAAUUCAUAAGGCUGGCCAGGCGCAGUGGCUCACGCCUGUAAUCCCAGCAUUUUGGGAGGCCGAGGCAAGCGGAUCACCUGAGUUCAGGAGUUCGAGACCAGCCUGACCAAUAUGAUGAAACCCCGUCUGUACUAAAAAUACAAAAAUUAGCGGGGCGUGGUGGCGGGUGCCUGUAGUCCCAGCUACUGGAGAGGCUGAGACAGGAGAAUUGCUUGCACCCAGGAGGCAUAGGUUGCAGUGAGCCGAGAUCGCGCCACUAUACUCCAGCCUGGGUGACAAAGUGAGACUCUGUCUCAAAAAAAGAAAAAGAAAAAGAAAAAGAAACUGGCUCCUAUGCAGAUGAAGAUGGGGACCCCGAAGUCUCCAUGUUUCCACACUCAGCUCCCCAGAUUUGUUUUGACCCAGCCUUUUUUUUUUUUUUUUUUUUGAGACAGCGUCUCGCUCUGUCACCCAGGCUGUAGUGCAGUGGUGUGAUCUCAGCUCACUGCAACCUCUGACUCUCAGAUUCAAGCUAUUCUUCUGCCUCAGUCGGCCGAGUAGCUGGAAUUACAGGAACCCGCCACCAAGCCUGGCUGAUUUUUUGUAUUUUUAGUAGAGACGGGGUUUUGCCAUGUUGGCCAGGCUAGUCUCGAACUCUUGACCUCAAGUGAUCUGCACACCUCGGCCUCCCAAAGUGCCGGGAUUACAGGCGUGAGCCACCGCGCCCGGCCUGGCCUUGACUUUUGAGGGUGCCCCCACCCGUGCCACCCCCAGGAGGCAGAGCAGAGCCAGAGUCAUGGGGGCCGGUGGUUGUAAACAGAGUUUUAUUGAUGGGGAGGGGGCUGGGGGAGGCAAACUCCAGAGAGGGCAGAGGACCCAGCCAGCCACGUGGCAUGCAUGGUCAGCUGGAGGUCAGAGGGGGGAGGUCACAAGGGGACGGGUGGCAUGGGACUCUCUCACCACCCUGGGGCCGUAUUUACAGAGGGGCCCCACCCACCUUCGCCGCCCCCCAGGCCCCCAAGCCCUUUAGACAGCUGCUGCCGAUGUGACUUCCGGGCAGGCCCUCCUCGUGUCUCCUGCCUGAAACCCCGGCAUUGUCCCCGCUUCCCUCUGCAGAGUGGGGGGGGUUCAAACUCCUAACCGGCACCUCGGAGACCCCCGGGCCUUCUGGAAGCCCCAGCGUCGGCUCAGCCAACGCCCAGGCCGCUGGGGCCACCACGAUCGUCGCUCGUGGACACACACCCUGCACGCGUGGCCCACUUGACACACACGCCCACAGCAGCCUUCGCUGGCACGCACACACACGCCCACCUCCCCGGCCCCUUGCACACGAACACGGCACGCACACGCACGCACACCCACACACGCCAGGGGCCUGGGUUGGGGAGGGACCUUUCCAGGGGUGGGGGAGGGCUUAGGUCUGCAGCUGUGGCCCCCCAUUCCCCACCGGCGUCCAAGCCUCCCCUGCCUGCCGCCACCCCGAGAACGGAGUUGUGCAAUUGGUUAGAAAACCGCAAAAGAAACCAAAACUGCAAAAAAAACCAAAACCUACGCGCAUAAGGUCAACCUCAAAUCCAUAG